AAAAUGGGACAAGUCCAUGCCAGGUCUUGUAUAUCGCCACAAAUUAGGCGGAAGUAAAUAGGACACGGAUAUAUAUAAGGAGUAAAAACGGAAGUGAAGGUGCGUGUGGGAAAAGGAAAUUCAAGCGUUACCUGUCGGCUGAUGUACUGUAUGCGCUGCUGCAGCAGCUUAUUGUGCUGAAUUGCAUAGACCGGGUGCGAACGCCAAAGCUAAAAGAAAAUUAGUUCCGCAUGUGUUGCCGGUUGCAAAUUUAUUCAGACAAGACAAGUUCACCUGCUGCAGGUGACCGUAGCCACCAGAUCCAGUCUGUACCCAGCCCGGAUGGUGGAUCAGCAUCUAGAGACGACCUCUACAGCCCUAAAUGUCAGCAGGGACCACGUCAACUUGAUGAGCCCCAGAGGUGGAUCAUCAGCGAGGAACUCGUCACCUAGACGCUUUUGGACCCAGAUGAGUCCUUUGCAAUCUGACUUUGCUGCAACAUGGAACUUUUGCAUUAUUGACACAUUACUGUCCUAUUUAAAACUGUAAAGUUGCUUUGACACAACCUGUUUUGUUAAAAAGCACUGUAUAAAUAAACGUGAUAUAUUAGACUUGAUAUUGGUUAGU